CCUCAUCAACAAAAUCCCAAUGCAAAAGCCAAAAAGAAAAUGAUUUACCCAUUUCUGAAUCUGAAGGUACCUAAAAUCUCAACAACACAAAUUGUAAUUAGCAAAACAGACAGGGAACCUGGAAGAAAAUGUUUUGGGUGAUAAUCAGAGGAAGAGGAAUGUCCAACAACAUUCAUUCAUAUAAAAGAUAAAAUUCAAAAGGUGGGUACAAUUCAAGGGUUUUCUUUUGAUUCCAAGCAGUCACUAGGCAGGUCGCAGUUCACAUAGAUGUUAAUUCAGGGGAAGACAUAAGCAACGUGGAAUGCGGAAAUUCAUGUUAUCUGAACUAUUUCUCAAGCCUUUUUAUGAUUGUAAAAUUUACAACUAUGCUUUCAGAUGGGCUGAUUGUGUUCUCUCAAUCUACAACAAAGGCCAUGUCCCUUGGUACCAGGGGAGAAAACGGUGGCUUUAUGUCGAUAGUUAGGGAGACAAACCAAGGGCAGUGGAUUGAUGGAGGAGUGAACAGUGUCAUUCUACUCUAUUGGUUUUAUAGAAUGAAAAGCCAGAGAGGACUAGACAGAGAAUAGUUGGAGGAAGUCUGAGCUGAAUGAAUUCAUCGUUCCACACAAUAUACAUGGAUGAUUACAUUUCCACUUAUAAAGAAAAAUCACAGUUUGAUUUGUAUGCUCAUUAAGGAACGAGUGGUUAUGAAUUCAUCAAAUAGCCAAUUUUGUAAAGUGAAUUGUGAAUGUAAAGUGAAUUUUGGACGAGGUAAGGAGUCUUCAAUAUUACAGACCAAAAUUUAGCUAUAUCUCCUGUAUGGAUGAUAAUAAAACAAGUCUGACGCUAUAUCUUCUGGUUCUGCAACUUUUGUUGGCAUGUAGGUGUCUGUACUUGCAAAUGUUAAGUAUAGAUUGCAGUGGUUGAUUUCAGACAAUGACUAAUUCAAUCAUCAAAAAAGCAUCCUUUUCUCAAUAUGAUGGUCCUUAUUUAAUCCAAUGAUUGUUGCAUUAGUUUCAUGUCACAUUGCAUUCGAUUAUAUUCCAUAGAACUCUACAUUCAAGAAUGUAUUAAGCUCCUUGAUUUUGAGGCUCGCGAUUUUGUAAUGUGCUAUUCCUACUCUGUCUACAUUUCUCCAUUAUCUCUGCUGCUCUAUUUUUCUUUUGUUCAAAGAAGCAUCAAACUGACACCUUCACAUAGUACUCUUGGAAAAUUCUCUGUGGUGAAGCAAAUAAUCUCCCCAAAAUACACUAGCAAAGAGUUUUCCCUGUAUAAAUAGCUUAAUUAAAAAGAGAUCCUAGACAUCAGGCAUGGACUUUAAAGGUGAACAGGAACCUGUGUUGGCUCCAAAUACUUGGUUGCACAUAGAGAGUAGUGCCUCUGGCAAUGAGAACGUUUAUCCAAUUUAUGCGUUAAAGAGGUAUUGAUUACAAGCUUAUUAAUAUUGAAGCAAAAUUAGUACAUUGAUUUCUCAGUAGACCUAAUUAAAUGUUGAGUUAAAGAGUAGUUGCUCUGCGACACACUUUUUGUUUUUAAAAUUCUGAUGAUCUAUUUCUUGCAAGUUAAGGAUAUUAUAGCUGAAAUAUUUUGUUUUAACGGUCUUGGGGUUUGCAAAAAUUUACUGCAAUUUGUUAAAAAGCACGAGGCUAAUUGAUUUGGUGUUGCACAGUGAUGUUAGGGUUGUUGAACGUAUUGACUUUGACCAUCAGGCAAAUUCUCUGAUUUUGUUUCUUUUAUUACGUCAAAUUCAUCUAUUUGAAGUGUUAUCUUUAAAAGUCUUGUGGCAGUAGUGUAUUGUAAGUAAGGAGGUCCCGGUAAGAAAGUAUCAAAGUGCAGGCAUACAAGGGUUGGAUCAAGCACUUCUGCCUUAAGAGAAAUCAGUUGAUUUCUAAUUAAACACUGUGAUAUUUAUCUUCUGCACUUAAUUCUAUGAGCUUAAACUAGCAAAUCAAAUCUCUUGCUCUUGCUACAUUGUCAGAUAUUAAUAUUAUUAGCUUGAAAUCCUUCCAUAAUACAGUUAGUCACAUGAAGAGGAAAAGGGUCACCCAUGGUCAGUUAUUAGUCAGUUCUUCAAGUUUAUGAUGCCUGAAAUCUUUUUUCGGAAGUCUUAAUGUUACAUUUUUUUGUCGUGUGAAAACACAAACAUGCAUUUCCUUUUUGUGAUGUGCUGCUGCAGCCCCACUAAUUUGCAUGACUUAGCUUUAUUUUGUCUGUUUUUACUACUAAAAUCAGCUGGGGCAAAUUGGACAGGAUGAAAGGAAAGAAAGCCAAAGAGCUGAGAGAAGCAACAAAGGAGCUCGAGGUAAGCAUCAUAUGGUCAAAGAUCCUGAUUUACCCAACAAGGAGCCAUCUCGGACCUUGGAACUGAACAUCAGAAUAUACAAACUGAGUUACAUGUCAAAACAAUACGAUUUAUAUAGAAACCUUGCCGUCAAUUUCAUAUCAAAAGUCCAACAAAAAUCGUAUGGAGGAGUAAACAUUUCCUUUAUUCUCAAACUUAACCACAAAAUUAUAACUUUUCUGCAGAUUUAAAAUUUUGUUGGUGUGCUUAACAUGUGACGAAUAUAGUUAAUUUUUGAAAAUUUUACAAUCACUUGGUAAAGAAAUUAUUGAAGUACUUCAUCCUGUGACGAAUAUAGUUAAUUUAAAUAUUUAUUUCUUGGUAUAUCAUCUGCUUUCUUUCUACUCAUUACGCAGUUUGUUUGAUCUUUUCUUGAGGGAUUGUUGAUGCAUUUCCACUGAACUUGUGUUGGUUUCUACUAGAUUUAGAUUAAUGGGAAUGUAUAGAGAAGUAGUUUCAAGAAUCCAGUUUCUUAUAGUUCGCUGCAAAAACCAUGAAAUGAAGUUUGUAUGUGACUCUAAUAUGCACAGUCACACAAGCUCAUCACGAAUAAUGGUGAUUUAAUUGUAUGUCAACAGCACAAGCCAUAUAUUGAUAUUUACUGGCAGUCAUACCAAAAGUCUCCAACCAAAAAAAAAAAGUCACCCUCAAAACUUAUUGAACUUACAACUUGAAAUGCAGUCCAAAAGUUCCUAUUCCGUUGUAGCUUUUGAU